rnacentral:rRNA from 1 species
ACGGAAGGCAGCAGCUAAGAAUAUUCCGCAAUGGACGAAAGUCUGACGGAGCGACGCCGCGUGGAUAAUGAAGGUCGGAAGAUUGUAAAAUCCUUUUAUAACUGAGGAAUAAGCAGUGUGAGAGAAACGCAUUGCGGUGACUGUAGGUUAUGAAUAAGCAACGGCUAAUUACGUGCCAGCAGCCGCGGUAACACGUAAGUUGCGAGCGUUGUUCGGAAUUAUUGGGCGUAAAGGGCAUGUAGGCGGUUUUGCAAGCUUGAUGUGAAAGGCAGGAGCUUAACUUCUGGACUGCGUUGAGAACUGCAUGACUAGAGUCACUGAGGGGCAAUCAGAAUUCCUGGUGUAGGGGUGAAAUCUGUAGAUAUCAGGAAGAAUACCAAUGGCGAAGGCAGGUUACCAGCAGAUGACUGACGCUGAGGUGCGAAGGUGCGGGGAGCAAACAGGAUUAGAUACCCUGGUA